UGCAAGUUGAGCGGUAAGGCCCCUUCGGGGGUACACGAGCAGCGAACGGGUGAGUAUCGCGUGGGUAAUCUACCUCGAGGUGGGGGAUAGCCCCGGGAAACCGGGGGUAAUACCGCAUGAGUCCUCGAUGACAUAAGUCGACAAGGGGAAAGGCGGGGAUCCUUCGGGACCUGUCGCCUUGGGAUGAGCCCGCGUCCGAUUAGCUUGUUGGUGGGGUAAUGGCCUACCAAGGCAACGAUCGGUAGCCGGCCUGAGAGGGUGAACGGCCACAUUGGGACUGAGACACGGCCCAGACUCCUACGGGAGGCAGCAGUGGGGAAUUUUGGGCAAUGGGGGAAACCCUGACCCAGCGACGCCGCGUGGAGGAUGACGGCCUUCGGGUUGUAAACUCCUGUCAGGUGGGAAGAAGAGCUUAUCGGUUAAUACCCGAUAGGAAUUGACGGUACCACCAAAGGAAGCCCCGGCUAACUCCGUGCCAGCAGCCGCGGUAAUACGGAGGGGGCAAGCGUUAUUCGGAUUUACUGGGCGUAAAGCGCACGUAGGUGGCAUGGUAAGUCAAAGGUGAAAGCCCUCGGCUCAACCGAGGAAUUGCCUUUGAAACUGCUUUGCUUGAGUCCGGGAGGGGGGAGCGGAAUUCCCAGUGUAGCGGUGAAAUGCGUAGAUACUGGGA
rnacentral:rRNA from 1 species